CUGGCUGCUGGGGAUCCAGAUGUGGCUCAUGUACAGGCUCUCAUACUCCCUGGCCAAGGAGAAGAAGGCAGAGUCAUACCCUUUGAGGCAGACUAGAAGAUGGUUGUAAUUGCUGUCAUUAUGCUUUCACGGGUAGGGCACCACCUCCUACCGAGGCCACCACCUAAGAAAAGGAGCUCCAAACUCAACUCGUUGGCAUCUGCCUUAACAGCUUCCUAUGGGGACGCUAAAACUCGGCCUUUGGCUCCAAGCUCUGCUGCCCAAUAGAACUCUUUGUGAUGACUGAAA